AACAUUCAUAAGUGUUAAGUGUUAAUUUUUUCUGUGAAGAUACGCACAAGGAAAUCGCAAAUGUUUUUAAAACAAAAAGUAAAGUCACUAUUUUAAAGUAAGUAACUUUUAGUUUUGUUUAAAACGUUUAAUUGCAUUUGAUGAGAGGUUUUAAUUUUCCUUAUCUGAUGUGCCUUUAUAAAGUAUCGAUCAGGCCAUCUGUCUCAAUUUUGUGGCUUGAAAGAAGUGAAAAAUGAAUACAAUAGAGGUCCAUAGUUUGAAAUGAAUAAAGAAAAAUAUUAAAUUGUGAGUUAAUUUGUUUUGGUGACAUUCAAAAUCCAUAUUCAGUAAAGUAAAUGAAAAACUAUGGCUCCCUUUGGGCAAAUAGAAAAUAAUCAAUGAUAAAUUCAUUAAAUUGUACAUUCUGUGUACUAUAAAUACAGCAUUAGCACACACUUGUACGUUAAUGUGGCAAAUAGACAGAUUUUCUGUGAAGAUGAACCAUGUCCUUGCUUGAUUUGUCUUCUCAGAGAAACGUGUCUUCAUCGAUCAUAAUUUGUCUGUACAUAUUGUAAAUACAUAUUGGCUCAUUCCAGAACAGAUCCACACUCUCCCUACAGAGGAAAGUUCUGCUGUUCGGAAGGGGAGCGGGCAAACUCUGCAAUGUUGGCAAAAGCUAGACUUGUUUGAACAGGGCUUAAUUAAAUUGGCAGUAUUUAUAUAUUUCCAGGAUUUAAGACCAAGAUGAAAAUCAGGAUUGGAGAAAUCAUUUUACUACAUAUAACUAUUUUAUUCAACCACAUCCAUGUCAGAGUCACUGCAAUGAAUCUAACCCACCUCCCUACCUCCCACAUACCAACACCAACCCAUACCAUACCCUUUAUCUUGAAUGGUAUGGGCACCACAGUUGCUAUGCCAAUCCACAUAUCACAUGGCAUAAACCAAACCCACAUUGGUGUUAGUUCCAAAAUUCUAGUCGCUCCAUCAUCGAGCAGGAUUAUGAUCGCAAGCCAUAUUAAAACAGCCAACCCAGUGCCAAAAAGUUCAAGUGUAUCCACAACCGUCACCACAUCAAUUUGGUCAACAUCAACCAUUAUCCCUAAAUCACCCUCAACUUCUCACCCUUUAUCACCCUCAAUGCCCUAUCCUACUAACAAUACCACCUCGCCAUCCCCCACCCAUAAACCGCCUAAGACAACGUCAUCGAGUCAACCCUUCAUACACAAAGUUGGAUUGAUUGUCGGAGUCGUGUUAGGACUGGUUGUACUAUCAGUAUGUCUGAUUGCAUUUCAUAAAAAAGAAACUCGUAUCAAGUGUUUGAAGUUAAUGUGCAGGCCGUGCACAAAAAAUUACAGUAGCCGAUAUAAUAUUGUACCGAUAUAUGUAUAUGAUGAUGCUGAACAAGAUAUACGAGAACUACAGGAUGACAGUGACCUGCCUUUGGUGUAGUCUGUUAUUUUACUUUGCCUAUAGUAUCACACAAUUUUGAUUGUCAAAGGCAGAGUUUGAGGGGUUAAUUGAUAAGCAGGGUUCUGCCUAAAUUCAAACUAAUUUAAGUGGGUUUCAACUUGCCAAAGUGUAAGUUGAAAUUGACAGGCAGUUGAAAAGCAUGGGUGGCCAAUCAUUUGCGGUUAGCAUAUUGCUCCCUUCAUCUGCCGCUAAUACGACUGAUAAUACUGUUUAUUAAUAAUGCGUUAUUCACAGAUGUAUAGAUUAAUUUAUUGAGCAAUAAUUUUUCAUUGAUAUAUAGGAUGACUUGAUAUUAAAUUUAGUAACCAGAUGUUAUUCCGUGGCAUACAUGCAGUUACUGAGCGGACAAAACAAUUUGAAACUUCAACCUCUGCCAAAUUAACUGAUUAACCCAAACUUUGCUUUGACCACUGUAGAUUAUAGAUGCUUAAUAUUAUAUAGAAAGUAUGUAGAGGCCCACCAAGGGUACAACCUAUAGGUCGCUUGUCACUAAUUUUGUAGCUGCUUUGUCGCUUGUUUUAUUGUAUUAAAUGUCGCUGUCACUUUUAACCCAUGACACAAAUUGCAAUUUGUCGCUUUUUCCCGGUCAGAAGCUGUCGUUUGUCACUCUUUUUUAGACAGUCUGUCACCUCUUUUUUAAGGAAUGUCGCCUGUCGGUCAUAACCCCUUGGUGGGCCUCUAUAUGUAACAUAGUGGAGAAAAUUCUUUGAAAAAGUUGAACAUAUUUAAAAGUUAGAAAUAAUGAUCAAGGGGGAAUGCCCUUAUUGAACUUAUUUAAAGAGAUCCAACAGAGACAACAGUAUAUUUAUUCUAGUUCCAAUCAAUAAAUGUAUAUUUAUCUGUUGGACAGUUUAUUAGAAUUGAUAGAAAUAUAAUCAAAGCUAGGUUAACUAUGAUAUGUGUUUUCUUUUAAUUUUGAAUUUUAUACAUACUCAGAAAUAUUUGAUGAUGUACGUUACUCC